CCACGGGUAAAGACAAUUACUAUAGGGUCAGUCCUAAUCUAGCGGGUGACCCCUGAGACCAGUCUUGUACUAACGGGUGAUCCCAAAGUAUGUCAUUCCUAUCUAAUGAGUGACAUCUCAUACCUAUACUUUCUACGUAGUUUUGGAACUUAGGGAUUGAUUCUAGGGAUAUUAGUCCUAUCUAGUGGGUGAACCCCCAUUCUUAGGUUCAC
rnacentral:lncRNA from 1 species